rnacentral:rRNA from 1 species
GUCUAAGUAUAAGCAAUUAUACGGCGAAACUGCGAAUGGCUCAUUAAAUCAGUUAUCGUUUAUUUGAUAGUACCUUACUACUUGGAUAACCGUGGUAAUUCUAGAGCUAAUACAUGCUAAAAAUCCCGACUCACGGAGGGAUGUAUUUAUUAGAUUAAAAACCAAUGCCCCUCGGGGCUUUCUGGUGAUUCAUAAUAACUUCUCGAAUCGCAUGGCCUUGCGCCGGCGAUGGUUCAUUCAAAUUUCUGCCCUAUCAACUUUCGAUGGCAGGGUCUUGGCCUGCCAUGGUUACAACGGGUAACGGAGGGUUAGGGCUCGACCCCGGAGAAGGAGCCUGAGAAACGGCUACUACAUCCAAGGAAGGCAGCAGGCGCGCAAAUUACCCAAUCCCGACACGGGGAGGUAGUGACAAUAAAUACUGAUACAGGGCUCUUUUGGGUCUUGUAAUUGGAAUGAGUACAAUUUAAAUCCCUUAACGAGGAACAAUUGGAGGGCAAGUCUGGUGCCAGCAGCCGCGGUAAUUCCAGCUCCAAUAGCGUAUAUUAAAGUUGUUGCAGUUAAAAAGCUCGUAGUUGAACCUUGGGCCUGGCUGGCCGGUCCGCCUCACCGCGUGCACUGGUUCGGCCGGGCCUUUCCCUCUGGGGAGCCCUAUGCCCUUCACUGGGUGUAGUGGGGAACCAGGACUUUUACUGUGAAAAAAUUAGAGUGUUCAAAGCAGGCCUAUGCUCGAAUACAUCAGCAUGGAAUAAUAGAAUAGGACGUGUGGUUCUAUUUUGUUGGUUUCUAGGACCGCCGUAAUGAUUAAUAGGGACAGUCGGGGGCAUCAGUAUUCAAUUGUCAGAGGUGAAAUUCUUGGAUUUAUUGAAGACUAACUACUGCGAAAGCAUUUGCCAAGGAUGUUUUCAUUAAUCAGGAACGAAAGUUAGGGGAUCGAAGACGAUCAGAUACCGUCGUAGUCUUAACCAUAAACUAUGCCGACUAGGGAUCGGACGAUGUUAUUUUUUGACUCGUUCGGCACCUUACGAGAAAUCAAAGUUUUUGGGUCUGGGGGAGU